rnacentral:rRNA from 1 species
UACGUAGGGCGCGAGCGUUGUCCGGAAUCAUUGGGCGUAAAGAGCUCGUAGGCGGCCGGUUGCGUCUGCUGUGAAAUCCCGGGGCGUUAACCCCGGGCGUGCGGUGGAUACGGGCAGACUAGAGGUAGGUAGGGGAGAAUGGAAUUCCCGGUGUAGCGGUGAAAUGCGCAGAUAUCAGGAGGAACACCAAUGGCGAAGGCAGCUCGCUGGGACGGUACUGACGCUGAGACGCGAAAGCGUGGGGAGCAAACAGG